ACCAGACUCCUACGGGAGGCAGCAGUGGGGAAUAUUGGGCAAUGGGCGCAAGCCUGACCCAGCAACGCCGCGUGAAGGAAGAAGGCUUUCGGGUUGUAAACUUCUUUUGUCAGGGACGAAGCAAGUGACGGUACCUGACGAAUAAGCCACGGCUAACUACGUGCCAGCAGCCGCGGUAAUACGGAGGAUGCGAGCGUUAUCCGGAUUUAUUGGGUUUAAAGGGUGCGUAGGCGGAAUGCCAAGUCAGCGGUAAAAUCGCGGGGCUCAGCCUCGCUCCGCCGUUGAAACUGGCGUUCUUGAGUGGGCGAGAAGUAUGCGGAAUGCGUGGUGUAGCGGUGAAAUGCAUAGAUAUCACGCAGAACUCCGAUUGCGAAGGCAGCAUACCGGCGCCCGACUGACGCUGAGGCACGAAAGCGUGGGGAUCGAACAGGAUUAGAUACCCUCGUAAG
rnacentral:rRNA from 1 species